rnacentral:rRNA from 1 species
GACGAGCGCUGGCGGCGUGCUUAACACAUGCAAGUCGAACGGAAAGGCCCUGCUUUUGUGGGGUGCUCGAGUGGCGAACGGGUGAGUAACACGUGAGUAACCUGCCCUUGACUUUGGGAUAACUUCAGGAAACUGGGGCUAAUACCGGAUAGGAGCUCCUGCUGCAUGGUGGGGGUUGGAAAGUUUCGGCGGUUGGGGAUGGACUCGCGGCUUAUCAGCUUGUUGGUGGGGUAGUGGCUUACCAAGGCUUUGACGGGUAGCCGGCCUGAGAGGGUGACCGGCCACAUUGGGACUGAGAUACGGCCCAGACUCCUACGGGAGGCAGCAGUGGGGAAUAUUGCACAAUGGGCGGAAGCCUGAUGCAGCAACGCCGCGUGUGGGAUGACGGCCUUCGGGUUGUAAACCGCUUUCGCCUGUGACGAAGCGUGAGUGACGGUAAUGGGUAAAGAAGCACCGGCUAACUACGUG